CGCUGCAAUUCCCGAGCAUUCUGGGUAACGGUCCCUCCUGAGGAGGGAAGCGCGAGCGAUCUACCACUGGAAGACGCAUUGUCAUGACACUGCACCUGCACGUUUUUGAGGAGAGGAUGGCGACGAACGGUCUGACGGUGUAGCUGAAAGCGCCAAGAUUCAGAGGGGUAGGCCAUCUUCACUCUUACCUCCGUCGUCGUCAAUUUCAGAAGAUUAUUCCGCCUCAACAAAUGCAAGCAACCUGAUCGCAGGAAAGGCAAAGGAACAAGAAACACUGACGCAGCUGCUUGGCGUUGAAUCCUAGAGUGGUACACACGUGUACUCCAUUGCCUUAUACGCUUCAGGGGAAACAAGCUGUCUCCUGUACCCCCUACCAGUUCAUACACUGAUACCUUGCUGCAAAUGUCAACCCUAGAAAGGUUUGGAGCACAUGCUGCAGUUGGCUGAGGAAGAAGCCCCCAAGUCACUUGGAGGAUUGACAGAGACUAGGCAUUUUAGAUCCAGACAGGAGAGGACCCAACAAUGUCAGCAGUCAGGAAUUUCGUUCACAUCAUAGGGAGCAACAGGAGUGGCAGAUAGCUAUGUGGAAUGCAUUGACCCUCAUUGGCCAGACCCUGCAGGAUUUCAAAAACAUUAUGGGUCCCAGCUGCUUUAAGCAUGCAACCAUCUCACAGCCUCUAAAGACAGAUUGGUAGCUGCUAUGGAGAGCUUGGUCCUGCACCUUCAAGGUCUGCUGGAGAGGCACACACUUCAUUGCCCCAGCCAUUUAUCCUUAGGACAAACAUCAAGGCAACAGGAGGAGAGGGAACCUGGUCCAGGUUGUCCCUACCCCACACGAGGCAGGGUGAUUCCAGAAGCCACUCAGCCAGAGGAAUAUCACACACAGACGCCCUUCUGAAAUAUCCUCACAAGACAUUCCAGAGAUGGCUGGGCCCUCCAUUUGCACUCUGCCUGAUCCCUACCCUUGGAAGUUGAAGUCGACAUGAGCACACUUACGUCUGGAAUAAGGCAAUAGUAGUUGGGGCUAAUGUAGAGACAAAUGAGUUAAAAUUCCAGAGACCUUGCCAACCCACCACCUUGAUGAUUUGCAAAAUCAUUGUAAAACAUGGAAAUUAGAACUACUUGUGGCUUUUAGUUAAAAUUCAAAUAUUCUGCAUAUCCAAAUGUUUAUUCAUCAAUUUGUGAAGAUGAAAGAUCUUAACAAGAAAACUGAAGUUGUAUCAAGGUUUUUUUUCUUCCUUUGUUGAAAAGUGAGAAGAUGGAAUUCCUUAAAUUAGACAUUCGGCAUGUAUGAUGGAGAGGAGAUGACAUAGCUGACUAGAAGAGGGAGACUGGGAGAAGUAGAGGGCAGAAGAUGUGAGAAAUAUAAUGGUGACCAGAAAACCAAUUUACUGAGGGAACUCUGAACCACUUACUAAUACAUUUAAUAUUUUGUAGCUUAUUCUUCCAAUCGCUGUCACCACCAUUUAUAGCUGUAACAAUGAACUGCAAAAUGCAGCUUUUGUUGUACUUAUCUCAACUAUUGUCACCAUCUAAGGUAUUGAAAUGAUUUUUUAAAAUAUUAGCAAUGUGAUAUAUGGAACACUUUUGUUGUAAAUAUAUUGUACAGUUUGAAUUAUUUAUUUAGUUAUAAAAUCAGGUUUGUGACUUUAACCAAAUCGUUUCCUUAAUAGCAGUUUUGUUUGAUAAAACAAGUUUGUAUAUGCAAAAUGGUGGUAUUGGAUGGCAAAUUGAAUGUGCUUUUGUGAAUACCAUGUAAAAAUAUUUGUAUAACAAUGGGAAUACUUAAAUGUUAAUUUAAAUAUUAACAUUUUAUAAAUAGUUAAAUGGUGAAAACAGAAGCUGGAUAAUUACAGGAGAUUCUUUUGAUGAAUGCUUUGUGAUCAGUGGUUCAUUGUCAUUUCAGUUUUGGACAGUGUCCUGGUUCUAACCAUUUUUAUCAGCUUCAUCAAUAGCUUUUCAUCAUUGCAGGUUAAAAAUAGGGCUGUUUGCUAAAAACUGCACACUGUUCUAUGUUGCAACUCUUGUGAUGUUGAGAAGUCCCUGUCUGCCUUUAUUAAAGACCUGGACAACAAUCCCAGGCAAUCGAUUACAAGAGAAAGUCUGAUCAUUCCCCCAUGAUACUCAAAGGUAUUCUUUUGUCUGACUCCCAGAUGUCCCAGACCAGAGAUAUAUUUCCUCCCCACCCCUAUCCACUUUCCAUAAAGACCAUUCCCUCUGCAACUCCCUUG